ACAACUCAAUACUAAAUAUAAUUAAAGUAAUUUACAUACUCUGUCAUUAAAUCCAUACCUGAAAACAUUCUUUUCCUCAUUAUAUUCUUCAUGCUCUGAGCUUGCAAGAACAUCUGAAUUUUUCUUUAAUUGCAGCAUGCGUUGCAGUUGGUGUAUGUAGGACUUCUGGUCAUGGCAUCGGCAUGGAUAGGUACAUCCUGGAAGUUUCAAGCUCACUGAUGUUAAUAAAUGCAGAUAAUGUUACUGUAAUUUCUGAACUAUCUCAUCCUUAUUGAUUCAUCACCAGAGGGCUUUUUUGGAGAAAAAAAACAUUAUAGGCAUAAUUGACUUCAACUGAUUUCAGAAUCUGCACAUUAAACAUAUACAUCGGUGCUAUUUGCUCCGCAUGGAUUCCGAGAGGAACUUGUUUUCAUGUGUAUCAAUCUCAAUCGUUUGGGUAAAAUAACUGUCAGCAUUCUUAAAUCAAAUGACAUCUCAUAAAUAUACAUGCAGGGGUAGCAUUUUGGGCAGAAACUGGAGAAAGACAAACAGCUCGUUUGAGAGUUAAGUACAUUCAUUCAGUUUUAAAACAAGACACGAGCUUUUUUGAUACAGUUGCCACAAAUGAGAACAUACUUCAGCGUAUCUCAAGUGAUGCAAUCCUUGUGCAAGAUGCCAUAGCUGACAAGGUAAACGCAUCAAAAAAUUUAUAUAUUGGUUCCUAAACUACUUCAAGGCACUAUUUAUAUAUGCUUAAUCUGAUGUCUUGGAAAUCUACAAAACAAGAAUCAAGAAACUUAAUAUUGACGCAGGUGUUUCAGAUGAUAGACAUUAUGUUAGAGUCAAGUUUUAGAGUCAAAAGAAAGCACUGCUGCAAUGAUGCAUCCUAUUAAUGCAAACGCCCUAGCUGAGGCUAUAGAAUUUGGCUUGAUUUCAGAUCUCUUGUCAAGGAGUUCGAUAAUUUGCGUAAUAUCAAUGAAGAAACUAAAUUUUUUUCCUUGUAUUUUAUGCAGUUAGGCCACUCUUUACGGUACCUUUCCCAAUUUUUCAUUGGAUUUAUCAUGGGAUUUUCAUCAGUAUGGCAGCUUACAUUACUCACUCUAGCAAUUGUUCCAUUAGUGGUCAUUGCUGGUGGCACAUAUACCAUAAUAAUGUCCAGUUUGUCAAGGAAGGGUGAGGCUGCGUAUGCUGAAGCAGGGAAAGUUGCAGAAGAGGUAGCUGUUUUCAACCUCGUGUUCUUGUAAAUUUAUUUGUUACUGCAUCUAUGUCAACUGUUUCUAUGCAACACAAAACAUCUUUAAAAUGUUGUGAAGUAGAUUCCAUCUGGCAACAGAAUGUUUAUGCUAGAUAAGUCCAUGCAUAGUUAUAAAAAUUUCGAUGAUAAUAUACAAAAUCAUUCAAAUAAGUAAUUAAACUGCUACCGACAAGAAAAUCGUUUGCACAGUUUCUAUUUUGACAAGGCCAUGGAGGUAAACUGAAGCCUAUAGUUCAAGAAAAAGACAAUGCUACCUUAUCAAAGCCGCGUAGAUUUUGGUUGAUGAAGUAGCUUUCAUUUAUUCUCUGUUAAUAAAAGCAACAGUCCAAGACAUGUUCUGUUUCCCUGCAAAGAAGUAUAAAAGCCUGGGAAUGGUAAUCUGUCUAUUGAUGUGUGACAUUCUUCUACAAGGACUAAGCUUAAGAUGCAGUGAUUCCAAAUUCCACCACACUGAGUUUAGGCAGCCAGAUUGUUUUUCCAUGGGCUCUUGAGCUGACAUUAUCAACACAAAGUUUAUUUCACUUAUAAGGCUUAGUGCAACUUCUAACCUUGUCCUGGAUCAGGUGAUCUCACACAUCCACACUGUGUACUCAUAUGUUGGGGAAGAGAGAGCAAUUGAAGCUUACUCAAGGUCACUUAAAACUUCCCUGAAGUUUGGUAAGAAAAGUGGGCUUGCGAAAGGACUGGGGUUGGGGUGCACAUAUGGCUUAUUAUUCUGCUCAUGGGCAUUACUUCUUUGGUAUGCUGGAAUCCUAGUUACCCAUGGAGUAACCAAUGGUGGUAAAGCAUUCACAACAAUACUAAAUGUUGUCUUCAGUGGCUUGUAAGCUCUACUCAAUAAAUUAAAAAAAAAGAAAAAUUUUGUGGUUAUUUCUCUUUGUUCUGCCUGUUGAAAGGAUAGUUUCUGUUGUGUAGUGCUCUUGGACAAGCAGCUCCAAACCUCAGCUCUUUUGCAAAAGGUCAGGCUGCAGCUAAAAACAUUCUCAGCAUAAUAGCAAAGGUUCCAGAAUAUUCAGGAACAUCAGAGAAUGGAUUAGUCUUACCAGAAAUUGCUGGCCAAAUUGAGUUCUGUCAAGUAUCCUUUAACUAUCCCUCGCGGAAGGACAUGGUAUUCAAUGAUCUAAGUUUUUCAAUUAGUGCUAGUAAAACCAUUGCAAUAGUGGGCCAAAGUGGAUCAGGAAAGAGCACUAUCAUUUCUAUCAUUGAAAGAUUCUAUGAGCCAACAUCAGGUGCACAUCUAUUGCUAAUCUGCUAUUAGAAAAUUAUGAAAGGAGCAUGUUAAAGACAUUGUACAAACAGAACUAAAACGCCAUACAAAAGCUUAUUUUAUAUUGGAAUACUUGCUAGGUAAAGUGCUGUUGGAUGGCCAUGAUAUAAAGAACCUCCAACUGAAGUGGCUAAGGAACCAGAUGGGACUUGUCAGUCAGGAACCAGCAUUGUUUUCUACUUCUAUUGCUGAAAAUAUUAUAUAUGGAAGAAAAGAGGCAGACAUGGAAGACAUUGAAGAGGCUGCAAAAGUUGCAAAUGCUCAUUCUUUCAUACAAGAUUUACCUGAUGGCUACUUAACUAAGGUUAGUGCUGCAUCUGAGACCAUCUCCGCAAUAUGCCUCGAGUCGUUAUAUAUUAAUAAACAACUGAUGCUCUCUCUCUCUCUCUCCCUGCCUCCCUCCCUCCUCCAAUUUAAGGUGGGAAUGGGGGGAAUGCAGCUUUCUGGAGGACAGAAGCAGCGAAUUGCCAUUGCCAGGGCAUUACUAAGAAAUCCUAAAAUUCUGCUGCUGGAUGAAGCCACGAGCGCUCUGGAUGCAGAAUCUGAAUGCCUAGUUCAGCAUGCAUUGGAGAAAGUAAUGUUCAACAGGACAACAGUCAUAGUUGCACACAGGUUAUCUACAAUCAGCAAUGCUGAUACUAUUAUGGUGUUAAAAAAUGGCAAAAUUGCUGAAUGUGGGACACAUAUGGAACUAAUAUCCAAGGGACAGAAUGGAGAGUAUGCCAUGCUGGUCGGUACUCAGGCACCAGUAAAUAACAAAGAGAGGCACCCGGAUUAUAGUAAGGAUUCAGCGUAAGAGCAUUUGGAUUUACAUUUUUAAAUUUCAUGAUAUUUUUUGAGGGAAAAACAUGAUAAAUCAUGGUCUCAUGGUUGCUGAUAUCCGACUAACUCCAAGUUGGAAUUGUUUUCUUCAGGGUUUCUUGUGGAACAUCACCUAAUGUUCCUGAAAAUGAACUAAAGUAUGAGAAAGAGAAUUCCGUGAUCAUAAGAGAUCAGGAGAGCCAAGAAUCUUGUUGUCCACCUAGGUCAGCAUCAAUACCAUCAAUUUGGACAGUGUUUAAACUAAAUAAAUCAGAGUGGUCAUUUGCAAUACUGGGAUCAGUUGGUGCAACAUUAGCAGGUGUAGAAGGUCCUCUGUUUGCUCUAGGGAUCACACAUGUCCUGACUGCAUUUUAUUCGCAUGAUAAGAUACAGAUCAAGCAUGAGAUUAAGAUGGUUUCUCUCAUUUUCAUCGGAGCAGCAAUUAUAACUGUACCCGUAUAUCUCUUGCAACAUUACUUCUACACAUUAAUGGGAGAGAAGCUUACCACUCGUGUUCGCCUCCUUAUGUUCUCAGGUUUUAAU
rnacentral:lncRNA from 1 species